AGCGAACGCUGGCGGCAGGCCUAACACAUGCAAGUCGAACGAAGUCUUCGGACUUAGUGGCGGACGGGUGAGUAACACGUGGGAACGUGCCCUUUGGUACGGAAUAACUCAGGGAAACUUGAGCUAAUACCGUAUGUGCCCUUCGGGGGAAAGAUUUAUCGCCAUUGGAGCGGCCCGCGUCUGAUUAGCUAGUUGGUGAGGUAAAGGCUCACCAAGGCGACGAUCAGUAGCUGGUCUGAGAGGAUGAUCAGCCACAUUGGGACUGAGACACGGCCCAAACUCCUACGGGAGGCAGCAGUGGGGAAUCUUGCGCAAUGGGCGAAAGCCUGACGCAGCCAUGCCGCGUGAAUGAUGAGGGUCUUAGGAUUGUAAAAUUCUUUCACCGGGGACGAUAAUGACGGUACCCGGAGAAGAAGCCCCGGCUAACUCCGUGCCAGCCGCCGCCGUAAAAC
rnacentral:rRNA from 1 species